rnacentral:rRNA from 1 species
GACGUAGGUGGCGAACGUUAUCCGGAAUCAUUGGGCGUAAAGGGUGCGUAGAUGGCAUGAUAAGUUAUUAGUGGGAAAUCGAGGCUCAACCUCGUGGAAGCUAGUAAUACUGUUUUGCUUGAGUACAGAAGAGGUUAACGGAACUCCAUGUGGAGCGGUGAAAUGCGUAGAUAUCAAGAGGAACACCUGAGGUGAAGACGGGUUGCUGGGCUGACACUGACGCUGAGGCGCGAAAGCUAGGGUAGCAAACGGG